CUGCAAAGCCUGUGAGGGUGGAGAGGGGAAAGCAGGGAUUUCAGUGGCUCUGUGCUUGUGUGCAAGAUGUGAGCAAAGCUGGUUGCAGUGAAUCAAUGCAUAUGAAUACCACCUGAGCACAGGGGUAGAGUUGAAGAGGAUACAUAAUGUCUGCAGAAUCUUAAUAUUCCAGAAAUAGGGUAUAAGGUAGGAACCUCUGGAGAGGUCACCUUAAAUCUUGAGAGCAGUGAGAUCUGAGGCAUUUGGAGUGAAUUACCCAGUCCUAUCAUGCAUUUGACUUGCAUGAACCCAGCUUUUGGGAAGGUGAGUACCUGUUUGCCUGCAUAUGGUGAUGUGUAUGCAAUGCUCAUCUGCAGAUCUUGUGCAGGCAACCAAGCAUAUUUCAUGAACUUACUACUACUCUCACUCUUAGCUGCCUCCUAUCCCUUCACUAAAGCGACUGCAUUAGAGAUUAUUUAAAAAGGGGCAGUUUUCCCUAAAAUAUUUGCAAUGGGGCCUAAGCAUCAUUAUUGCAUUUAAAGAUCUUAGUAACCAUCUUUAGUAUUAACUUCCAAGGCUCUGAGGAAGACACAGAUGUUCUUUAACCUCCCCUCCUUGUGUAACCUUAGAGAAGUUUUAUUAUCCCCAUCUUACAGCUAAAACCCAUCUGAAUGAUAAAAAUCACUCUUGGUCAUGAGGCAAAAGUCUCAGACACAUGCAUCCCCAAAUACGCAAUGGGAGGCAGGAGAAUGCCUGCUCUAAGAGUCUGACUUUGCAGCAUGCCGCCCACAGAGCUAGUGUCAUAGCAAAGUACAGAACACAGCAACCUGCAGAUGCUGUUGAUGAUGUAAAACUGCAAGGCAAAAUAAAAAUAUAAAUGUGCUUUCAAUUAGUGGGUGACACUCCUGAAAGUUUGAUUACUUGGCAUUUGAAGUGAAAAUGCCCAGCCAGAGACAUCAAGUCAAGAUAGAGAAAAAUGAGGAGCACGUUAAAAUAAGAAAAUUGGACUUCUUAUGAAGAACACAAUUUCUUGUUCACAUGUUGCUGAAAUGCAAAGAGACCUCCAGGAUGCACCAAAGAAAGGGACUAAGUAGAGAGCAGGAAGAAAGAUGAAGCUUAAAUUAUCAUCAUCAAAUCUGUUUGUCAAGUAAGGUACGCAUGUCUGAGGGAGGCUGUGUGUGGCUGCUGCUGCUGACAGAGCCCAGGCAGUGUGCUCUGUGCACGCACCCCAUCUGGAGUGAUCCCAUGAUAGAGAAGUCCUCAGGCCUGGAGGAGGACAAGACUGAUGCCAGCCUCUUGGGAUCGAAGCCCACCAGGACUGAAGCACAUUGACCUGCUGUGGCUGUGCAGAAAAGCUGAACCACUCAGCACCUCACGGUUCCAUGUGGCUACUUGUGUGGUCCAUUCCAGGGGCUCACAAGAAGGAAAUCCUCUCACCAGCCACAGGAAAGGGACUUUGUCUAGACAACAUCAAUUUUGCAGUACACUUUUUGCUCAGAGGAGGCUUCCUAAGUGCACCUCCUGUCACAUAUAGGCUUAUGAAGCCCUGUGUUUCUGCUGGAAACUUCAGGGACUGUGCAUCUUGGAUGUUAGACAAAGAAGUCAUCUUGCCCUUGCAGUUAGCAUCCUCCAAAGGCAGUGCCCCUGCAGUGGGAAUGUCUUGGAUGGCACGGGGAGAAGCACAGGGGUAAAGCAACUUGACAAGAGCACAAGCCAACAGCUGGUAUUGUUUAGCUUGUGCAUCUGUAUUAUAAGAUUUUAUAUGAUUAAAUUGUUCCAUGAGGCAGCUGUAACUAAGUUAUAAAAAGUCUCAUAAAUGUUCCAGCUGGUAGGUAGCAGACUGUGAGACGCAGCUGAUGGUCAAAUGUAUACUCUAAUCGGUCAUGAAAAAUUAUAUUUAAUUCACUUAGGUUUACUUGAGAGAGACUUGAAGCUAAAGGAUCAGCCAAA